AUUUAUUGAUUGAGCCUGUAUUUACAUUUUAUUUGUGAGAAUAAUAGAUUAUGAAUCACCAAAUUGUUCUAUAUAAUUUUAAUAUGCACCUGAUGACAGAUUCUAAAGUAAUUUAUGUGAUUACAAAAAAGGUUAUUUUUGGAAUAAAAUAAAUUGUUGUUUAUUUAUAGUAUGUGAAACUUUUGUGAAAUUAAUGAAGCUAUUUACAGAUGAAAACUUUUUACAACUUUUGAAAAUUACCUUCAAUCAAAUUAAAUCCGUUAGUUAAACCACAAGUGAAAUAAACAAAGGCAUUUUUGAUGAUAUGAUUCAAAUGCUUCAUUUAAUUCUGUAAAACUCUUGUAUUAACAAUUUAGAGGUAAGUGCAUCUUCUGGCCAAAGAAAAAAGAAAACAACACUUAUAGGUAAGAUCUUGUAAAUAGGAUUGGAGGAAGUAAAAGAGCAAAACAUAAAGCUUGUUGAUGGUAUUUGAUGGUAUUUUAAUUUAUGUAAGAUACGAAGGCUUAACAGACCACCCUAAGCUGAGCUCAAACUGGUUUGUUCGUUAUCAUCUCUUCUAUGAGGGUACAUAUUAGCUCUUUGUGACUAAUAAAUAAAUCUUCAUUUUGUAUGGUGUAAUUUUGCUAGCUUGCUCUGUUUUGAUAAGGUUGUUAGUCUGAGCAUGAUUGAGAGUUUGUAAAUGACUUCUGAAACUUUAUGAUUUUUGUUAUUUAACAUGUUUUGAAUAUUCUAUUUCGUGGCAUGAUUGAGAUUUUGUCCCUGUGCUAAUUUGUUUCGCUGUUUCCCCUAACAUGUGAGAAUAAAUUUGUGCUCAUUCUAUUCAAUAUGCCUAAAAUUUCAAUCAUUCUUUUGCAUAUUGUAAAGUGUAAUAAUGAAAUUUUUAGUACUUCAAGUUUGUCUUGGUAUUAAUUUGGUCCUUCAAAUUUAUUUUUUAUCAAUUUGAUCAUUUAAAGUUGCCUUGAUUAUUAAUUUGGUCUUUAUUGUUUAAAUGGGGGGCAACACUAUAAAACUCUGCUAACAUGGAUAACCAAAUACUAAUAGUAGCAAUGUCUAUUAAUAAAAAGAAAUAUAAUUUUUUAGGUAGAAAAAAUACACUCAUGAAUUUUAAAAAACAAAAGAAUGAAAUGUAGUGUAAGGGACUAUAUUAAUUAAUAAAAUUUAACUAAUUUGAGGCCUAAUUUGUUUUCAUUUAGUUAUAUAUACAUAUCAAGUUAUCAAAAUACUUUACAUAUUAUAUUAAUUUAAGAUAAAUUUGUAUUUUGAAACUUAAGAGACUAAUAAAAUGAUAAUUUAAGAAACAGUAAAGGACUAAAUAAAUAAUUAAACUAGAAAAAUCAAAUCGAUACUGAGACAAAUUUAAAGGAUUAAAAAUUUUAUUAUCCCUUUUAACUUUUGUCCCCGCUUUGAUUAUCAUGAAGGAAGUUUCAAAACAUUUAUUUUGCUCCUCAUCCCUACCUUGAUAUACUGUUUAAUGCCUUUUUUUCCCCGGUCCAGCAAUGCAUUGCUGUCAACUUCCUUGAAUCCUUGUUUGUUGAUCAAUUUGUGUGGCUUGGCAUAUCUUCUUGCAUCUACCUGUUUGUACAAUGCAGUUGCUUCGCGUCCGAAGAGCAAGCCCAAAAUACAGUAGUGAAGAGUCUCUCUGUUGAUGAUCAUUGAAGUGUCUUUGACAUGUGAAUCAUAUGUAGCAGUAGUACCAUUAUUGUGACAUUUUUAUGUUUAAUUUCCUUAUAGUAGCAACAUCAUCGUCACUUUUACUUAACUAGCCAUUGGCUGCGUGUGAGCAUUGUAUAGUAGUUUUAUAUGGAACAAACCAGUAUUUCAUUCAUUUAUUUAUAUAUCAUAGCAGUACAUAACUCUAUCAUGUAUACAUACAAGGGCCUUGAAUCUGACGCACAAAUUGCCAACAAAGGAGUUGAAGGUGCAUUUUCUUGCUCCCUAAAUUGGUCCAAAAUUGCACUCCUAGUUACUGUUGAUGUCUUCCUCUCUACUUAGGCUCUUCAUGUAUCCAUUUGAGGUUGUCUAGGUUAGAAUAAGCCCAUUUACUUGUGCAUAUCAUAUCAGUGUUUUGGGCCUUUCAAUAUUGUAGAUAUGGACUCGUAAUGGAUCAUUUAGCCUUUUGAUUC